AACGGCCGCAUAUUAUAAAUCACUUAUUUGAAUGUGGUUUGUGAUAUUCGGCCUAAGA
rnacentral:pre_miRNA from 1 species